UAAUGAUAGCUAUUAAAACUAUAUGUUGUCCAAACAACAGUCCAUCUAACUGAAAAUAAAUUUAGAUAAUAACAAGCUUUCCACGCAGCCUAAAGAUAGUAGUUUAUUUCACAAAGGUCAGUGGAUCAGUUUCAUUUGUCAUGCUCUGUGGUAGUUAACAAGAGUGUUGAUAGCAUGUUUAUCACUAUAUAUGCUAGAAUGCUGUGUUUUUCAUUCAUCAUUUCGAUUACUUACAUAGUUUGGCAUAACAAAGCACUAGUCUAAAAUGUAGCAGCAAGUCUCCCUUCUGAUUUAAAAGCUAUAUGCAUUUCUGACAGUUCUGAGCAAUGCUUUUUAUGGCUUUGUUUACCUUGGUCUAAAAUGAAAUGACAAUUCAUUUUUCAUAAAUAAUCUGAAGAGUCUUUGCAGCAGAUAUUUUUUCCUUUGAAGUAAAUUUAAAAGAGGGUUUGAGAUAUAUACACAUAUUUUUUCUAUACACAUAUAUUUUCUUAAGUAAUAAAUGGAAAAUACCUCCAAAAGUUUUGCCUUGUGACAUCUGGUAGAAAGUCUUGUAAAGCAGAAGCCACUCUGUAGGCAAAUGACAAAAAUACUCUCUAAAAGCCGUAAUUUUUACCUCUUUUUGAACACACAAUUUUCCACAUGCUAGAGUUUGGAGACUUUUCUCCUGUUACCUGUAUAUUGGAAACACAAGCAUUGCUUUAGAACAAGAAAGCAUUAGGCUCUUGGAUAAUCGAUCUUAUGCUAAAAAGUACACAUUCUGAAGUGUUGUGUUUUUCAUUUUGAGGUAGCUGUGCUUUGAACUUACUUUCUAACUUCCUUUACUCAGUGUGGGAGCUAUGGAAAUUCCACGCUCUUGUCUGGGCCUGAGCAUUAAUUUUUUGGAAAUAACUAGUUUUUUGUUUUUUGGGUUUUUUUGAGAUGGACUCUUGCUCUGUUGCCAGGCUGGAGAGCAGUAGCGCGAUCUCAGCUCACUGCAACCUCCGCCUCCCAGGUUCAAGCAAUUCUCCUGUGUCAGCCUCCCAAGUAGCUGGGAUUACAGGUGUGCACCACCAUGCCUACCUAAUUUUUGAAUUUUUAAUAAUUUUUUAAAUAAAUGUCAAAUAAGCAAAGAAAAAUGGCAUGUGUCAAUGGAAGAUAGUUUGUAGAAAUGAAAAUUCUGUGUGACAUUCUUCUGAAAUGAGCUCCAUCUUAGUUCAGGUCACAUUAUGCAUCUUGAGUAGGUUACCUACUGGACUUGAUUUAUUCAUCUAAAGAAUAAAUUCAUUAUUUAGAUUUAUUGAGUGUUCAUUAGGUGCAAGAUACUAAGCACUAUGGUGAAUUUAGCUCACAUGAUCACCAAAGUCUUUUUCAGCACUUAAAUUCUAUAACCAUUUUUAUGUCAUGCAUGCAGGUCACCUUCUCUUUUGCUGUAUGUAAUUCUUAAGAUGUUUUGCUUUUAUGUCUUGUGUUGAUUGUUACUACUUAGCUCUGCAAGUGGAUAGAAUUCAAUAGGCCAGAACAGCAGUCAUCUUUUGGCAGAUUUGUUUUCUACUAAAGACUUUUGGUCUAGUGAGAUUUCUAGAAGAUUCAUAUGGUCAAGAAAAUAGAUGACAAUAAGAAGAAUUUUAUGGAAAAACAAGACCAUUUAAAGGAAUUAAAAUUCUAGUAUAAAUAAGCAAAUAUAGCUAAAUAAAUAAAUACAUAUAAGAAUUCAAUAAUUAUAAAGACAAAUCAGACUAUUAGUGAAACUGAAUAUUUCAGCAUAAAACAUCCAGACAGAGAUACAGUGAGAAUAAAAGAAUAGAAAAGAACUUUUCAUUCUCUUAUCUGUUUUCUGAAGAGACAUACAUGAUAGAGUGAAAAGGUCAAACAUACAUGUAACCAAAGAAUCAGAAUAGAGAGAGAGAAAUUUGAGCAAAAACAAUAUUUAAAGAGAGAUUCUCUGAGAAUAUGUAAAAAUCAUCAACCUACGACAUUCAGCCUUAAGCUAAAAAAACUCUAAAAUCUCAAACAGGAUGCAAAAAAUCAUAGUCAAAUUGCUGAAAAUGAAAGAUAAAGAGAAAAAUUGAAAAAGAAAUAGAAAAAAAAACAGGAACAUUAUCUUCAAGGACUCUGCAAUGAGACUUAUAGUUGCCUAUUAAAUAUAAGCAAUACAAGCUAUAGAAUCAAUGGAAUGACAUGUUUAAAAUGCUGAAAGAGUCCAGGCAUGGUGGUUCACACCUGUAAUCCCAAAACUUUGGGAGGCCAAGACAAGCAGAUCACCUGAGGUCAGGAGUUUGAGACCAGCCUGGCCAAGAUGGCGAAACCCCAUUUCUACUAAAAAUCCAGGCACUUGUAAUCCCAGCUGCUUGGGAGGCUAAAGCAGUGAAAAUUGCUUGAACCCGGGAGGUGAAGUUGCCAUGAGUCAAGACAGAGCCCUUGUACUCUAGCCUGGGCAACAGGAUGAGACUCUGUCUCAAAAAAGAACAAAAAAUGCUGAAAGAUAAAACUAACAGCUUAGAAUUUGAUACUCAGCAAAAAAAAUAACCUUCAAAAGGUGAAAUUAAAAUGUUUAAAGACAAACAAACAAAAAUGGAGAGAAUUUGUUCCUAGUGGACUUGCGCUAAAAUAAAAUACUAAGAGAGUUUUUCAGGUAAAUAAAAAAUGCCCCCAACUGGAAGCAGAGGAAUGUAGCAGGGAAUGAAGAGCAGCAGAAAGGGUAAAGAACAUCAGUAUGAACAAAUGCUCACUAUAUAAAAAUAAUUACGUUUGAUAAGAUUUAAAAUAGAGAAUUAAGAUGCUUGACAACAAAAGCAUAAAAACUGAAAAUGGAGUAAACAAAGUUUAAGUUUUUAAAUUCUUGCAUUAUCCAUGAAGGACUUAAAGUUCUAAUAAAUAAGC
rnacentral:lncRNA from 1 species